UUGUCAUUCACUGAUGUAAAUGGGAUACGAGGAAAUGUGCAAAAAGCAAAAUCCUUUACAGUUAGUCUGUUUCUUUGAUUAGCUGAUGAAGAGACGGGCAUGGAGGAGGAGUCCAAAUCUGUCAGCUGAUUCCUGCACUUUGACACCGUCUCCAAAGCUGUGUCUGUGUCUGGUACUGGAGUAGAGAGUCCAGAGGAGCCUCCUGGUCCAGAUUAUCAACAACAGGGCCAAGCUGCUGGCCUUCUGCUCCUAUGUGAUUGAGACCUGCCUGUUUGUACUUUGGCGUCACCUGGAGUACGACCUGUUGUACUGCACCCCCACCGACCCCCAAGGACUCCCUGAUGCCUGGAGCCAGCGAGGUUCUCCCCAGGCUAACCCUGUCUGGAGAUUGAGAUCAGACUGGCUUUUGGUAGAAGUCACCCUUAAUCACAGAUCUAGAAUGCGAUAACGCUACCCUCUAGCCUAACCUUGAUCAUGAGGGGAAUGAAAAAUCAGACCCUGUUUCAGUGGGCAUCGACCAACUCCAGAUGACUGCAGGAAAUGUGAUGUUAGUGGUGCUUCCCCAGACUCAUUUGGACGUGCCCUGGGUCUGGCCAGUCAGCCAGCAAGAGCAGCUGCAGAGUGACAUGGGGGGCUGGCUUUGGGGAGGCUCUACAGAGGAAGCUGCAGAGUGACAUGGGGGCAGGCUCUACAGAGGAAGCUGCAGAGUGACAUGGGGGCAGGCACUACAGAGGAAGAUGCAGAGUGACAUGGGGGCAGGCUCUACAGAGGAAGCUGCAGAGUGACAUGGGGGCAGGGCUCUACAGAGGAAGCUGCAGAGUGACAUGGGGGCAGGCACUACAGAGGAAGCUGCAGAGUGACAUGGGGGCAGGCUCUACAGAGGAAGCUGCAGAGUGACAUGGGGGCAGGCUCUACAGAGGAAGCUGCAGAGUGACAUGGGGGCAGGCUCUACAGAGGAAGCUGCAGAGUGACAUGGGGGCAGGCUCUACAGAGGAAGCUGCAGAGUGACAUGGGGGCAGGCUCUACAGCUGCAGGAGGUGGAGGGACUGAACAGCCAGGUCCGCUCCCAUUCCACCUUCAUCCAGGCCCUGGUACGCAGGAUACAAGGCCUGCUCCACCAGCACAAGAGCUGAAACAGUCAACGACCAAUACAACAAACAAGACCUAAAACCUGUGGAACAAUGUUCACCUAAAGAGUACACCAGGCCAAGGAUAUGGACAUUCCAGAACCAGACACACCUGAUAUUGAGAAUUCUAUUUAAACCAGACUCGACUUCCCCUAUUCACUUCAGUUUAUUCUACUGGCCUCCACUGUCCUCCGUCUCUCCUAAGAUGGGCGCUGUGCAAUGUUAGUCUAACUGAUGUAGUUUGCCCAAUAUUUUUUUAUUUUCUUCACAAAACACACCUUUUGGUGUAAUGAUUUUCCAAUGAUUUAUUUAUUUAUUUUUGUUCUCCCUGAUACUUAAUUGCACCCACCUGGUGUAAAUCAGUCCAUGAUUAGAGGGGAAGGGUAAAAAAAAAGUGGCACUGGCUUUGAGGUCAAAGGGUUUGUCUCAUCUUUUGUAACAGGACUCAUUUGAGUGACUUAUGAUCAGAGGAAGCAGGAAAGGUAACCAAAACAGGCCUCUGCACUUUCUGCAAAGGUCAACAUGCCCAGUAGUGAAAGUAGAAUUGGUUCACAAAGCAACCAGUGACACACUUCCAUAAUACUUAAACUUACUUUAUUUUCUUACAAGGUACACUUUAUAUUAAGACCGUAAAGUGCGUAGAUUCUCAAACCUUGGGGAGGGGGAUCGGGAGAGUGGACAAACGUCCAAAACCUGGUUUUACGU